rnacentral:rRNA from 1 species
GAUGAACGCUGGCGGCGUGCCUAAUACAUGCAAGUCGAGCGAAUGGAUUAAGAGCUUGCUCUUAUGAAGUUAGCGGCGGACGGGUGAGUAACACGUGGGUAACCUGCCCAUAAGACUGGGAUAACUCCGGAAAACCGGGGCUAAUACCGGAUAACAUUUUGAACCGCAUGGUUCGAAAUUGAAAGGCGGCUUCGGCUGUCACUUAUGGAUGGACCCGCGUCGCAUUAGCUAGUUGGUGAGGUAACGGCUCACCAAGGCAACGAUGCGUAGCCGACCUGAGAGGGUGAUCGGCCACCCUGGGACUGAGACACGUCCCAGACUCCUACGGGAGGCAGCAGUAGGGAAGCUCCCGCAAUGGACGAAAGUCUGACGGAGCAACGCCGCGUGAGUGAUGAAGGCUUUCGGGUCGUAAAACUCUGUUGUUAGGGAAGAACAAGUGCUAGUUGAAUAAGCUGGCACCUUGACGGUACCUAACCAGAAAGCCACGGCUAACUACGUGCCAGCAGCCGCCGCCG